CCCCCCCCCCCCCCUGCCUCUUCUAGCUUUGCUGGAACUGUCCAAGGGGUAGCCCACUCCUCCUAAGCCUGAGUUUUGACAACAGACGGAAUGGUGAUAGUGGGGCCUCCAGGGUUUUCUAUGCAGAUAAAGGAGAGAAGCAGCCUAACCUGUGCUUACAUUUCACCUUCAGAGCCAAGUCCUCACCUCAGUGACAACCCGCUUUCUCCCAUUUUCAAGCUGACACCAAGGAAGAGUGAAACCAGGACCUGGGUUGUGCGGAAGGGCGUUGAGGUUUGAUGGAGAGCUCUCCCACGCUAAGCAUUCCCUUUGGUGUGACACACAUUUUUAGGGAGCAUGUCAGAAUAGGAUAGUGGGACAUGGACUUACUAAAGUCAAGAAGGAAAGUGGGGGAAGUCAGAGAAGCCGGUUAGUGGGGGAGGGGCAUGUGAGUUUGGAGACCCCGUUUCCGCCAGCCCAGGAUCGAGGUGACAAGUGUGAGGAGGCCACUGCAAGCCCCUGCAGACUUUGUGUUCAGGGUGCAUUUCCUCUCUUGUUGAGAAGCAGCCAGCUGGGGCCAGCCUGUGACUUGUCCAUCAAUUGUCCUGGGGUGGAGUGGGGGGGGCAGUCUAGCCUGUGGCUACCUGUGCUGAGCUCCUGUUGUCCUCAGGUCUGUGAACAGUGUCAGUGGUGGGUGGAAAGUGAAGCCCUGCUUAUUGUCCCCACUGCUGGGAAAGCCCCUCUAAAUUUCUUGCCUUGUUUUACAGAGAAGAGCUAAGCACUGCUCUCCCGGCAUCCCCAAGUGUCACUCAAGCCUAAGAUGAGGCUCUUCUCCUCCAACCUUUUACCUCUGCUCUUGGCUCAUCAAGUCUCCUUCUCCCUGCAGCUCCCGUUGUGGCUGCCGGGACACACACAUGCAGGCUGUCUGUACCCUGACCCAUUAGCUUUGAGGAUCAUAGCACCCCAGGCCUUGGGCUCCACUGCCCCAGUUAUCCCAGAAGAGCCUGGUCAGAAGAGCCUGGUCAGAGUGUUCUGCCACUGGCAUCCUCCUUCUGUCAAGAUCCACAGUGAGUUUGUGUCUGAACCUGGUGAACCAGGGACCUGCUGGCCCUGAGCCUAAGUUGUGCUCUUAGUUGCCAAGGUGGCCACCAUUCUUUCCUAUUUUAUGGCCGAGAUGGGCAGUCUAUCCCUCCUGGGGACACAACUGCACAGCUAGGAGGAGUGUGACAAGGGCCUCCCAAGCCACCAGGAGGCUGAGGUUUUUGAGAAGCAAGCCCAUGCCUUCUGGUGGGCUCUCCUCAGCUCUUCUGUCUCCAUCAUUCAUUCACACCCUACAAGGUCCCGGAGUCUUUGCUAGAACUCUGCCAGGGUUGUAUUUAUGACUUUGAAGCAAACAAAUUGAAAAGCAGUCAGGAAAGAAUUUGAAGAGAUGUGACACCGAUGAACAUCUUUCCAAAAAAAAAAAAAAAAAAAAAAAAAAAAAAAAAAAAACAGAAUUUAUCCCCCACUGCUUCUGUUGUGAAGGCACAGCUGGAGGUGAUUUCCCUCUUGUCACUCAAGAGAAUGCUGUCAGGGCCAUUGGUAUCCCAUGUGCAACCUUCUCUUCCACUGUCUCUUGGAUUCUAAACAGCCCUACCCCUGCCAGGCCUGGCUAGCACACUGUGGGACCAGGAGAGCCGUGUGACCCAGCUAUUUGUGUCUGGCCUGUUUGGGGGCCUUCUCUUUAAAACAGCUGAUGUAGAUGGGUUUUUAGCCAAAAUGUAAUAUUCCUUCUUGAGAGGUGAGUAGGGGAGGGGGAGGGGCCAGCUACUCUGCUGGUACCACACAGCCCUCCUCGUCCUCAGGAUUUUAUUCCCACCCUGGAACCAAGCUGCAGCCUCCUUGCUUAGAGCAGCCAGCGCCCAAAGUCAGGGCUCAUCUCUUUCCUCAUGGGGAAAGAGACCGCUGACCAUCUGGGGCCUUAGUGUUUCAGGACACCAAGUCUCUCCCUGCUCAGGAGUCCUGGCCUUAUGGGGCUUUGUCAGAUGCUAAGAUUUCUGUGUAGUCUCUGCUGCUCUUUCGAUAUUGCUUUGCAUCUUGGGUCAGAGUUGAAGAGAGAAAACCUUUCAUCAUAGAUGAGUCUAGUCAGCCAACAAAGCUUUAUGUCCUUAGUUUUUGCAGACCCAGGUCAGGUGUGUUUAUGUGCCAUUAGCCAGGUGACUCCCUGCCCGAGGCAGUGUACAAUACAGGUCCAUGGAGAAGUGACCUCCUGUCCCUCAUCUUCAAGAGGCCAAUUUUCCUAUAGAAGAGCAGUAUUUAGUUUGGGAGUUUGCUUCUGACUGGUCAAAGCAUUCUUAACUGAGGCCUCUCCCAUAAUGAGCCUCAGGUGGGUGUGGGCACCCAGCACUGGCAGCCGCUAUAGGGUCCAAGUAAGUGGCCUUGGUGAGUGAGAGAAGGGUCAGCUCAGGGCUUGUCUUCAUUUUGCUGAGCAUGUGGCAUCUGCAGGGGACCCCUGGGGGUCAUGAAUCAAGCCAUAUGAUGGACUCUCCCGCCAUAAGGGAGGAUUGGUCUGGAAUUCUGUGUGCAGGGAAUUACAUAGCCUUUGUCUUGUUUCGGGUGAAAUGAAGGAACCAAGAGGUGUGAAUGGGUGGGGGGUGGGAUUAGGCCCAGAGGAGAGCCCCUUGGCAUACUGCUGCUAGAAGCAACCACCCUACAAUCACAUUGCACCCCAAUGUCCAGGUUCAGGGCUGCUUCCACACUAGCCCAGAUAGUAGUAUGGAUGUCAGAGAGGGCUCUCACAUGCUUGCAAAAAGACAAACUCAGCAAACUACUAGGCAGGCCAUAUGGACUGACUGAGAGCUUUGAGUAGAAAGACCUAUGUAGCCCCAAACAGAAUUGUAAACAGCUCUCUAUCCACAGCUGAGGGACUUCAAAGCUAUCUGACCUGCCUGGCUCAUCAGGAUGGGCAGAAAAGGGACCAGGGGUACUAUGCAGUCCAAAUGUGGCUUCUAGUUCCUGCUCUUGCAGGCGUAUUUUGCUCACCUACCAAGUCCUGCAGUGUUCCUACCAGGGUGGUAGUGAGGGUACCCAGGGCUAUUAUGUGAUGGACAGGCAAAAGAAACCUUCAAAUGGUCUCUGUGACCAGAAAGGAAAGACAUCUGCACCUUCCUGUUAAAAAUUACCCUUCUCUUAUAUGUAAAAACUGUCCCUUUCCCCCCCUACACUGGGGUUUUCUGUUUUUACCUCUUUGAGGGGGUGGUAGCUUUCUUAUAAAAUACAUCAGUUCUCAGGAUGAGAACUGAUCCUCCAGCCCUGAGAACUGAAAGGGUGUUGAGCCCCAGGAAGGCACAGGAGGUGGCUGGCCCUUUACAAUGGCCUGAGCCUGGACCCGUAGAGGACAGAGCCCCCAGCAUCCUCUCUUCUCAUUCUUGUCCUCAGUUCCACACUGAAUCCUCAUCUUGCCAUAGGCACGUCUUUGCAAAGAGAAAACCCAGGGCAAAGUAGGGGUGCAGCUGACACAGUUCUGGGUGGGGGCAAAGAAAGCCAUGUCACCUGCCUAGACACAUAGAAGGUAGAAGCACAGUGGGGGCUUCUCCAGAGGUGAGUGGUCCGUCUGGGGCAUUAUGAUAUUACCUCAUUCCAUAACUUUAUGUUUCCUGAUGACUGAUGCUUUAUUUAUGCUGUUUGUCCUGUAAUUAAACCAUACACAGACAUUUCGCUUUGCUUGUUCGUUCAUGCGACCUUGUUCGGGUUAAAUAUACUGGUUUGUAUUUUCCUGCCUUGGGAUUUUGUGUCAGGUGUACAGUAUUCUAAGGGGAAAAGAAAGGAAAAGUGUAAAGUAACAGAGAGAGGUGGCUAUAGUGUAGAGACCUCUUUCUAAUAAAUGAAAAUAUGUAUGUACAGCUUCUGUGGAGUGUCUUCUUGGUAGCAAUUUGUCACAAUUAAUUGGUUUCCCACUCCCAGGAAGGUAAAUCAGACACAAGGGACUUCCACUGCCCAAGGGAAGCUUGUCCUAGAGACAGGCCAACCAUAUGAGAGGGAACCAACGCCUCAGCCUGCAGCCAAAGACCCAGGCAGUUGGGACCCAGGAAGCUGGAUAGGUGUCUCCUCCAUGUCUCAGUCACAGGGAUGGAAUGCCCAAGAGGGUGAAUUUGGCGGUUCCUGGUGCUUUGUGGGUCUCAGUAUUGCCCUGCACACCUUCCCCACGUGACUGACAGGGAUGCAGUGAACAGCUAAAGAUGAAAUUCACCGGACCUGCGCUAUCAAUGUGACUACUGUCAAAAGUAUUAUUACAGCUUUCUCAUGCAAAAUACAGUAUACCACCACUCCCACCCCAGACACACCCGCCCUGCCCCUGGCACAGUGUUCCAGGUAAGGAAUGCCCACGUGAGAAUCCUGUCUUUGGACGCUUUCCUAUGGUACAGUUUAAUGUACACGUGCCACGUGGACCAUCACAGCCAUAAGUGUGUGACUCCAUACCAAGGACCGCAUGUCACUCAGCACAGGUGACCACAUACCCAAGCAGUGUGUCCUCUGGAAGAUAAAGACAGUUAAAGAGACUUUCAGGAAACACAUGCUGGGUUUCUCUUUCGUGAGAGAUUUACAAAACAGCAUGAAGAAACUGGCACUCACUCUUCCUCACAGCAGGAGCUGGAACUACAGAUGCAGACCACCACCUCCAUCGUUUUUACAUGAGUUCCUGGUAUCCGGCUGACACAGCAAAUGCUUUUUACCCACUGAGCCAUCACCCUGCCCACCAGCCACCUCUUAAGGUUCUCAGUGUGAUUGCUCAGUGCUGGCCAGGGUGACAGGCCCUGGUGCAAACAGCUGUACAAAUAGUGAGAGACUCUAUGGAGAAUGUGACAGUGCCCGAGCUCUUCCCUUGACCGAAGAUCCAGGUGACACAAGCUUUGUCCCUGUGGAUGCAGAUGAAAGUAUGCAGAAGAGCUGAGUGAAUCUACCACUUAGGAAUCCUAGGUGAGGAUGACCUCCAACAUCUAUCUGUGUGUGAGAUGCCCAUCGUAACAAAACUGGAAAAACUCUCAGGCCAACAUAUAAAAGGAGGGAUGGUGAUGACACUGUUUACUAGGGCCUGGGAGCCUGGGAUACAGACAUAGAAUGCUUGCCUAGUGGGAUGAGACCUUGGAUUCAAUCCUAGUACCACCACAACCACCCCCAAAAAAUAGGGGGGAAAAAGACAAUAAUUAGAUAGAGCACUUGGGGCUGAAGGUGUCACUCAGUCGGUAGAUUGAUUGCUUAGCAUGCAUGAGGCCCUGGGUUUGAACUCUGGCAUAGGUGUCGAAUUCCAGUGACCCCAAGCACUCCAGAGAUGGAUAAAAGAGAUGAAGUUCAAGAUCAUCUUGGGAUCCUGUCUUGAAAUGGGUCUGUCACUCAAAUAGUAUAAAUAAAAAUAAGGGUGCAAGGUAUGUUUAA